rnacentral:rRNA from 1 species
UGUUUGAUGUUCUAACGUUGACCCGUGAUCCGGGUUGCGGACAGUGUCUGGUGGGUAGUUUGACUGGGGCGGUCUCCUCCUAAAGAGUAACGGAGGAGCACGAAGGUUGGCUAAUCCUGGUCGGACAUCAGGAGGUUAGUGCAAUGGCAUAAGCCAGCUUGACUGCGAGCGUGACGGCGCGAGCAGGUGCGAAAGCAGGUCAUAGUGAUCCGGUGGUUCUGAAUGGAAGGGCCAUCGCUCAACGGAUAAAAGGUACUCCGGGGAUAACAGGCUGAUACCGCCCAAGAGUUCAUAUCGACGGCGGUGUUUGGCACCUCGAUGUCGGCUCAUCACAUCCUGGGGCUGAAGUAGGUCCCAAGGGUAUGGCUGUUCGCCAUUUAAAGUGGUACGCGAGCUGGGUUUAGAACGUCGUGAGACAGUUCGGUCCCUAUCUGCCGUGGGCGCUGGAGAACUGAGGGGGGCUGCUCCUAGUACGAGAGGACCGGAGUGGACG